rnacentral:rRNA from 1 species
UCAUAUGCUUGUCUCAAAGAUUAAGCCAUGCAUGUCUAAGUAUAAGCACUUUAUACUGUGAAACUGCGAAUGGCUCAUUAAAUCAGUUAUCGUUUAUUUGAUAGUACCUUACUACAUGGAUACCUGUGGUAAUUCUAGAGCUAAUACAUGCUAAAAACCCCGACUUCAGGAAGGGGUGUAUUUAUUAGAUAAAAAACCAACGCCCUUCGGGGCUCCUUGGUGAAUCAUAAUAACUUAACGAAUCGCAUGGCCUUGCGCCGGCGAUGGUUCAUUCAAAUUUCUGCCCUAUCAACUUUCGAUGGUAGGAUAGUGGCCUACCAUGGUGGCAACGGGU